GGGGCUAUAGCUCAGCUGGGAGAGCGCCUGAAUGGCAUUCAGGAGGCCAGCGGUUCGAUCCCGCUUAGCUCCACCA
rnacentral:tRNA from 1 species